GUCUACGGCCAUGCUACCCUGAACUAGUCCAACCCCGUCUGAUCUCGGAAGCUAAGCCGGGUCAGGCCUGGUUAGUACUUGGAUGGGAGAUCACCUAGGAAGACCAGGUGCUGUAGGCA
rnacentral:rRNA from 1 species